GCUGGGCAUGGUGGCGCAUGCCUGUAGUCCCAGCUACUUGGGAGGCUGAGGCAGGAUAAUUGCUUGAACCCGGGAAGAGGAGGAUGCAGUGAGCCGAGAUCGCAUCACUGCUCUCCAGCCUGGGUGACGGAGCAAGACUCUGCCUCAA
rfam:Gorilla gorilla gorilla genomic chromosome, chr2A, whole genome shotgun sequence